UUGUGAAGAUGGAAGAACGCCCACAAGGUC
rnacentral:piRNA from 1 species